rnacentral:rRNA from 1 species
GAUCUGAAAUCAGGUAGGGCUACCCGCUGAACUUAAGCAUAUCAAUAAGCGGAGGAAAAGAAACUAACAAGGAUUCCCCUAGUAACGGCGAGUGAAGCGGGAAGAGCUCAAAUUUAAAAUCUGGUUUGCUUUGCAAAUCCGAGUUGUAGUCUGAAGAAACGUUUUCCAUGAAAGCUGAGGCACAAGUCCUUUGGAACAGGGCAUCAUAGAGGGUGAGAAUCCCGUCCAUGGUCUCAAGCCUUUCAUUUUGUGAUACGUUUUCUAAGAGUCAGGUUGUUUGGGAAUGCAGCCUAAAAUGGGUGGUAAAUUUCAUCUAAAGCUAAAUAUUGGCGAGAGACCGUUAGCGAACAAGUACCGUGAGGGAAAGAUGAAAAGAACUUUGAAAAGAGAGUUAAAAAGUACGUGAAAUUGUUGAAAGGGAACCGU